rnacentral:rRNA from 1 species
GACCGCCUGGGGAGUACGGCCGCAAGGUUAAAACUCAAAUGAAUUGACGGGGGCCCGCACAAGCGGUGGAGCAUGUGGUUUAAUUCGAUGCAACGCGAAGAACCUUACCUACUCUUGACAUCCAGAGAACAUUCCAGAGAUGGAUUGGUGCCUUCGGGAACUCUGAGACAGGUGCUGCAUGGCUGUCGUCAGCUCGUGUUGUGAAAUGUUGGGUUAAGUCCCGCAACGAGCGCAACCCUUAUCCUUUGUUGCCAGCGGUCCGGCCGGGAACUCAAAGGAGACUGCCAGUGAUAAACUGGAGGAAGGUGGGGAUGACGUCAAGUCAUCAUGGCCCUUACGAGUAGGGCUACACACGUGCUACAAUGGCAUAUACAAAGAGAAGCGACCUCGCGAGAGCAAGCGGACCUCAUAAAGUAUGUCGUAGUCCGGAUUGGAGUCUGCAACUCGACUCCAUGAAGUCGGAAUCGCUAGUAAUCGUGGAUCAGAAUGCCACGGUGAAUACGUUCCCGGGCCUUGUACACACCGCCCGUCACACCAUGGGAGUGGGUUGCAAAAGAAGUAGGUAGCUUAACCUUCGGGAGGGCGCUUACCACUUUGUGAUUCAUGACUGGGGUGAAGUCGUAACAAGGUAACCGUAGGGGAACCUGCGGUUG